AGGGGUAUAGUUCAACGGUAGAGCUGCGGUCUCCAAAACCGUCGAUAUGGGUUCGAAUCCUAUUACCCCUGCCA
rnacentral:tRNA from 1 species